rnacentral:miRNA from 1 species
CCACUGCCUAUGCCCCACAG